rnacentral:ribozyme from 1 species
AUAAAUCCACGGUGGUGUAGGAUCCGAGACUCCUUUCGGGGUUACACAGGCUCUCCUACCCAACUCCUAUUCCGUUACGUCCUCGUCGUGUGGUAACUUUCCCCAACACAUAUCCAAGCUUGGGUACACGGGCCUGUCCCAACCCCUUGGGCGGAUGGUGGAGAAAGGCUAAACAGGAGGGG